rnacentral:lncRNA from 1 species
CUGGUUCGGUACUUGACUUCUACAACCUGCGCACGGAAACAACCGUACGCUGAGUAUGCAUAUACUCAGUGGUAUCACUAUAAUUCAAUUUAUAAUUAAAUACAUUAAAUCACAUACAUACUUUUUAUUCAAUUAUCACUACUAAUAAACAAUUCAACCUUUUUAUAUUAUCAAUUAAUUAAAUAUAUAAUUAUCAUUCUUAUUUCUUUAUUUCAAAUUUCACUCUUCACAUAUACUAUGUUACUCAAUUUAAUUUUAUCAGUCAAUUUAUUUCAUUUGCCCCUAUUAACUCGACUCGGCCUCGACGGAUACACGGAUUCCAACCAAACACACCAGUAUACAGUAAUCAGUAACAGUAACAGUAUUCAACACACAAAGUGCUGAACCUGUAACAGUAACAGUAACAGUAUUCGACACACAAAGUGUCGAGUCGGUAACAGUAACAGUAACAGUAUUCGACACACAAAGUGCCGAAUCAGUAACAGUAACAGUAGUCGGCACAUAAGUGCCUGAUCAGUAAGCCGGCAAAUACUCCGUACACUUCCAUAUCCUAUGGCAUGCCAACUAUAUCCGACUAGCCCGACUAGUUAAUAGGGUAUUUAAUUCACUUUUCAGUAUAAAUUUCCAUCUCAAUUCAGUAUCAAUUAUAAUUCCUUAUUUCAAUCGGUUUCACAGUAUUACAGUAAUUCUUUACUUCAGUAAUUUCACAAUUCAAUGCAUUAUGCAUAACAAUAUUCAAUAUUUUCACAAUUCACUCAGUAAUCAAAACAAUAUCCAGUAUUCCAUAAUUCGGUUCAGUAUCAGUUUCAAUUUCAUUACUACAUUAUAAAUUUAUUAUUUAUUAAACAUUUACCUUAAAAUACUUACCACACAUAAUUAGCAAAUUAAACACUUAAUAAUAAUAAAGUUUGAAUUAUAGUGAUACAAACCGUAAUUCCCGUGUCUAUUCCUCGUCCACUUUUUCUUUUCCUUUCCUCGUGGAUGCCUCGGGUGCGAUAUUAGCUACGAAAAGAAAUUAAGAUAAUUUUCAUAAUCAUUAGCACAACACAAUUUACUUGCUGAAAUUUUUAUCUAACUUUUACUUUAAUUUCAAUUUAAUCCUAACUAAAUCUAUAUAUUUUUGUUUCUCAAUUCAUACCUUCUUGCUACUCAAUUUCUUGCCAAACUUAUAUGUAACUAUCUAAUUUUUAUCAUAUUUUCAUAAUUUCGAAUUUAUUUCAAUUUAAUCCCUAAAAUUAAAACUUAUAGUUUAGUUUACAAUUCAAUCCUUUAUUCAAUUCCAAUCAAAAUUUUUAUCAAAUAAACCCUCAAUUCCAUCAUUAUUCAACAUAAACCCUACUAAAAAAAAUCUAUUAACUUCCAAAACCUCAACUUAUUUUCAACAAAACUAACUUCUAAAACAUCUAAAUUAAAAGAAAAGGACUUGAUUGACUUACCAAGUUAAAUUCCAAGCUUAAAAACCCUAUUUUCCCUUUUUCUUUUCUUUUCUUCUUCUCCCCUGUUCCUCCUCUGUUUCGUCUCUUUCUCUGUUUCUUUGUUCUUUCUAUUCUGUUUCUUUUCUUUUGCUUUGUUUUUAUUUCCUUUUAUUUUAUUUACUUUAUACUAUAAUAAUAUAUUUAUUCUAAAUAUCUAUUAAAUAUUCAAUCAUAUAUUCACAUUUGUACACCAUCAACACCAUACAAUUGUCACUAUUUAAUUUGUUUACCAAAUAAAAAUCUCAUAAUAUAAUUAAUUAAUUAAUUAAUAUCUUUUACUUAAAUUUUAAGUAAUUAAUAAUUAUAAUACAAGUGUAUAUUUAUACAUUAUUACACUUGUACUAUCUUAUCACCACACAUUUGUCUUAAUUUUAAUUUAUUCCAUAAUAAAAUAAUACAAUUAAUAUAAAUUGCAAUUUAAAUAAAUAAUAAUAAUUAUUAUUAUUAUAUACAUAUAAUAUUUAUAUAUAACUUAAAUAAGUCUUGAAUUUAACGCAUAUAUGCCGCCUCUUUCCAUGUAAGUGGCUUAAUUGCCACUUUAGCCCUUUUUACUUUCUUUUAAUUUAUAAUUAGACUUUCACUCUUUAUUCGAUUUGAUCCUUUUCUCCUAAUUAUUCUUAAUUAGACUAAAUUCACCUAAUUAAGCACUCAACUAAACUCAUAAUUACUUCUAAUAAUUAUUUAUGACUCAGUUUAUUAAGACGGAAGCCCGAUAAUAUACUUUUCCGGUGCCCACAGAUUUUGGGUCGUUACAUUUCUUCCCCCCUAAAAAAAAUUUCGUCCUCGAAAUUUUACCUGAAAAUAAGUGAGGAUACUGUGAUCUCAUAGUUUCCUCCGGUUCCCAUGUUGCUUCUUCCACAUUAUGGCUUCUCCACAGUACUUUUACCAGAGGGACUCGUUUGUUUCUUAAUUCUUUCACUUCUCGAGCUAGUAUUUGAACUGGUUCUUCUUCAUAUGACAAAUCCGGUCUAAUCUCAAUAUUUUCAGUAGAAAUAAUAUGAGAUGGAUCCGAUCGAUACCUUCGUAACAUGGAAACAUGAAAAACAUCAUGAAUUUUCUGUAAUUCUGGAGGUAAGGCUAAUCGAUAAGCAACAGGCUCAAUUCUUUCCACAAUCUCAUACGGCCCAAUAAAACGUGGACUCAAUUUUCCCUUUCGACCAAAUCUCAAAAUUUUCUUCCACGGCGAUACUUUGAGGAAUACUUUAUCACCAACGGAAUAUUCAAUGUCUCGUCGUUUCAAGUCUGCGUAAGAUUUUUGUCUGUCGAAAGCGGCUUUCAAUUUAUCUUUAAUCUUUUUAACUGUUUCUUCUGCUUCUUGAAUCAAUUCCGGCCCAAUCACUUUUCUUUCUUUUAAUUCUGUCCAACACACUGGUGAUCGACAUCUUCGACCAUAAAGUGCUUCAUACGGAGCCAUUUGAAUACUAGAUUGAAAACUAUUAUUAUAAACAAAUUCUGCUAGUGGCAGAUAUCAUUCCCAACCUGAUUCAAAAUCAAUGACACAAGCUCGAAGCAUAUCUUAUAAUAUCUGAAUUACCCGUUCAGAUUGUCCGUCAGUUUGAGGAUGGAAAGCUGUACUGAAAUUAAGUCGAGUACCCAAUGACUCAUGCAGCUGCUUCCAAAAUCUUGAUGUAAACCGAGGAUCUCGAUCUGAAAUUAUUGAUACUGGAAUUCCAUGUAAUCUAACAAUUUCCCGAAUAUAAACCUCAGCUAGCUUCUGUAGUGACCAGUCAGUUCUGACUGCUAUAAAAUCAGCAGGAUUAGUAAACCUAUCAACUACCACCCAAAUAGCAUUCUUUUUACUCACUGAUAAUGGCAAUCCCAUAACAAAAUCCAUGGUAAUGUAAUCCCAUUUCCACUCAGGAAUAUUAAUAGGCUGUAACAAACCUGUUGGUACCUGAUGUUCUGCUUUUACCCGCUGACAAGUCAAGCAUUUACUGACAUAUUCAAUUAUAUUUUUCUUCAUUCCUGACCACCAAUACAGUUCUCGUAAAUCACGAUACAUUUUCGUUCCACCUGGGUGCAAAGCAAAAGUACUAUCAUGUGCUUCUCGGAAAAUCAACUCUUUAAUCUCAGAAGUAGCUGGAAUACAAAUUCGAUUCCGAAAUCUCAAACAAUCAUGCUCGUCAAUACUAAAGUUUUCUGCCGUACCAUGCCGUACCAUGCCGUACCAUUUCUCUUUUCUUCAUUAACCUUUCAUCUUCCAUCUGUGCUGCUCUAAUCUGAUCAAACAUUACCGACCGAACUACAAAUCUCAUCAUCACAUCACAAAUCCAAUGGCAUGCCAUUUGUAUUCAAUCUAGUCCGAUAAGUUAAUAGGGUAUUAUUUUACUUUCCGAAUUUCAAAUCCAUUUCCACAACAAUCUCAAAUACUCAAACAAUUCAAAACAUCCAUUAUUUCAAUUCACAUAUAUUUCAAUAUUUACACAUAUUCUUACUUAAUUUCAAAUGUUAUCACUUACCUUACUUUAAAUGCCUCAUGAAUACAAUUUCAAUAUAGCAUUUAUUAAAUAGAUUAAGUUAUAGUAAUACAAACCCGGAAUACGCGUUUACUCCUCAACGAUCUUUUCUUUUCCUUUGGAUGCCGAUGCCUCGUUUUCCUUGUUAGCUACGAAAAUAAUAAUUAUUUUCACUAUUAAUUACAAUCAUUAACAAUAAUAAUAAUAAUUAAAUUUUAUUCAAUUCCUACUUAUUCCCAAUUUAAUUUUAACUAAGCUUACUUAUUAUUAUUUUUUCUAACUUAAUUCACACUCUAUUUCUACUCAAAUUUCUUCUAAACUCAAAUUUAUCUACUAAUUUUUCAGCAUUUUUUUCACUAAUUUCGAAUUUUCCUCAAUUUAAUCCCUAAAAUUCAAAACUUAUAGUUUAGUUCACAAUUUAAUCAUUUUAUCAACUCUAACUAGAAACUCUAUCAAAUAAACCCUCAAUUCCCUCAUUUAUUCAACAUAAACCCUAAUUUAAGGCUUUUUAUAACUUAAUCCCAACUAUGUAAAACUUACAACUUAGUUUACAAAUCAAUCUUUUUAUCUAUUCUAACUAGAAAUUCUAUCAACUAAACCCCUAAUUUAACAACUUGUUCAAAAUGAAUCAUGUUCAAAAACCUAUGAACUUCCAUAACCUCCACUUAAUCUCAACAAAACUUUAUUUUAAAGCUUCUAAAACAUCAAAAUGAAGAGAAAAUGGCUAAAUUUAGCUUACCAAUUAACUUGAAGCUUUAAAAUCUCAAUUUCCCCUUUUAUUUUUCUUUCCCUUUUUCUUCCCCUGUUUUUCGUCUCUUUCUCUGUUUCUAUUCUGUUCUUCUUUUG